rnacentral:rRNA from 1 species
AUACGUAGGGUGCGAGCGUUAAUCGGAAUUACUGGGCGUAAAGCGUGCGCAGGCGGUUUUGUAAGAAAGAUGUGAAAUCCCCGGGCUCAACCUGGGAACUGCGUUUGUGACUGCAAGGCUAGAGUGCGACAGAGGGGGGUGGGAUUCCCCGUGUAGCAGUGAAAUGCGUAGAGAUGUGGAGGAACACCGAUGGCGAAGGCAGCCCCCUGGGUCGUAACUGACGCUCAUGCACGAAAGCGUGGGGAGCAAACAGGAUUAGAUACCCUGGUAGUCCACGCCCUAAACGAUGUCGACUAGUUGUUCGGAGGUUUAGCUUCUGGGUAACGCAGCUAACGCGUGAAGUCGACCGCCUGGGGAGUACGGUCGCAAGAUUAAAACUCAAAUGAAUUGACGGGG